rnacentral:rRNA from 1 species
GACGAACGCUGGCGGCGUGCUUAACACAUGCAAGUCGACCGAAAAGGCCUCUUUCGUGGGGUACUGGCGUGGCGAACGGGUGAGUAACACGUGAGUAACCUGCCCUUGACUUUGGGUUAACUUCAGGAAACUGGGGGUAAUUCAGGACAGGAGCUCCUGCGGCCCGGUGGGGGUUGGAAUGUUUCGGGGGUUGGGGGUGGACUCGCGGCUUAUCAGCUCGUUGGUGGGGUAGUGGCUUACCAAGGCUUUGACGGGUAGCCGGCCUGUGAGGGUGACCGGCCACAUUGGGACUGAGAGACGGCCCAGACUCCUACGGGAGGCAGCAGUGGGGAAUAUUGCACAAUGGGUGGAAGCCUGAUGCAGCAACGCCGUGUGCGGGAUGACGGCCUUCGGGUUGUAAACCGCUUUCGCUCAUGACGAAGCUUUGUGUGACGGUAGUGGGUAAAGAAGCACCGGCUAACUACGUG